rnacentral:lncRNA from 1 species
ACACUUAUAUUGAAUUAAUACACUGUCAACAAACAAUUUUACUUUUUAAUGAGUUAAUUAAGAUGAUGUUCAAUUCCUUAUUUUUAAAAGAUGGUUUUUUAAUUCAGUCUAAAAUGCAUGUGGUCAGGUUGCAGUGGCCAAUUUAGAGCAGGAUAUACCAACUUAUUUAAGAACUAAUAUCAAUUGUAAAAAAAAUUUUACAGUGUUUUGGUAGAUUAAUGAGGCUUUUAAGUAAAUGCUGCCAUAUAUCAUUUCAUAGGAAAAGUUAACAAGAGAUACAUGACUUACCUUGGAGGUCUUAGUGGAGCAGAAACAAAGUUCCUGAAUUAUAAAUCAUUUCUAAGUUUAUGAGGUCUUUACCUUUGAAAUGAGUGAGAAGUAUAAUUUC